GCUGUCGGUCAGUUGCUGCUCAAUGAGUAGAGGAAAGUCCAUGCUUGCACUUGCUGGAACGCAAGUAGUGUUUGUGUAAAUUGAACAAAUAAGAUUUAGGACGCUAAUAGACGUCACGACUGGACUAGUCUAAGGUCUUUGACUAUGAUGAUGUCCGUAAAGUACCACAGAGACGAGCUUAGUGAAAACUAAGUAUGAAACGCGGUAAACUCCACAAGCAAGAAACCUAAAUUUUGGUAAGGGAAUGUUACUUUAAGAAAAAUAAUUAAAGUAAUGACAGGAUUACUGUAGAUAAAUAACUGACUUUAAAACAGAACAUGGCUUAUUGGC
rnacentral:RNase_P_RNA from 17 species